rnacentral:sRNA from 1 species
GCGCCUGCAAAAUCAGGCGUCGGGAUUAGCCUCCUGAAAACCGUUACAGGCGACACUUGACGCACCAGCGUCUUUUUU